ACGGCUGCCCCCGCUCUUCCCACCAGGUUUCUACACCUGGACCAUCAACUAGGGCAAAGUUAUCACCAAUGGCAGUAAAACUCAUUUUCUGGGGGUCAAGGUCCUCUUUCUAAUGUUGAGAUGAGAAGGAGAUGAGAGAUGCCUUGGUUGCCUUUGGGUCAUAGCAGGAUUUGGUCAAACAAGACGAGAACUAUUCCCACAUGGAAACUGCUCUCACUCGUAGAGAACUUUAGCAUUCUCAUCUCAUAUUCCAUUUGAUGCUUACAACAUACCUGUGAGGUAGGUAUUAAAAUUAACUAUGUUUUACAAAUGAGGAAACCCGGGUUUACAGAGAGUAUAAGAAGCAUCCCCAAGCAAGAGUGAUUUUUCCCUUUCUCACCUACCAUGUGUCUCAGAUUUGUCAGAGUUCUCCCAGAG
rnacentral:lncRNA from 1 species